ACACACAGAUGGCUUGCAUAUGACAUGCCAAG
rnacentral:piRNA from 1 species